AGCAGCGACAUGAUUCAUUACAAAGUUUUUAAUUUUUUAGAGAGUAAUCAAUGAAUCACUACUGAUCAUUUUGAUUGGGAAGAAUAUCCGGACAUGGCUUAGUUCUGAAAAUGUGCUUCGUAAGACCGUAAGCAGUAUUCUCUGUUAUUUUAGAACACCAUGGCAGAAAAUUCCAGCGCAGAAAACCUAAACAAUCAGGAAACAGAGAUGGAUCUCCUCUCUACGAACAUUAAGUACCCGAGGUUCCAGGUCAAUAAAGUUGAAAGUGACGACGAUCUGGACCUGGAUGUUCAGUUACGGAUAAGGGUUGAUGCAGAUGGACAAACAGAUGAUGAGAAUAAUAUUCACUCUGUCACAGAUAGGACAAGGUUGAAUAGCGAUGUCAAAAGCUUCAGGCACCUGACAAGGGAAG